UGGGGAAUAUUGGACAAUGGGCGAAAGCCUGAUCCAGCCAUGCCGCGUGAGUGAUGAAGGCCCUAGGGUUGUAAAGCUCUUUCACCGGUGAAGAUAAUGACGGUAGCCGGAGAAGAAGCCCCGGCUAACUUCGUGCCAGCAGCCGCGGUAAUACGAAGGGGGCUAGCGUUGUUCGGAAUUACUGGGCGUAAAGCGCACGUAGGCGGAUUGUUGAGUCGGGGGUGAAAUCCCGGGGCUCAACCCCGGAACUGCCUUCGAUACUGGCAAUCUAGAGUCCGGAAGAGGUGAGUGGAAUUCCGAGUGUAGAGGUGAAAUUCGUAGAUAUUCGGAGGAACACCAGUGGCGAAGGCGGCUCACUGGUCCGGUACUGACGCUGAGGUGCGAAAGCGUGGGGAGCAAACA
rnacentral:rRNA from 1 species